rnacentral:rRNA from 1 species
ACCGACUAAUGUUGAAAAAUUAGCGGAUGACUUGUGGCUGGGGGUGAAAGGCCAAUCAAACCGGGAGAUAGCUGGUUCUCCCCGAAAGCUAUUUAGGUAGCGCCUCGUGAAUUCAUCUCCGGGGGUAGAGCACUGUUUCGGCAAGGGGGUCAUCCCGACUUACCAACCCGAUGCAAACUGCGAAUACCGGAGAAUGUUAUCACGGGAGACACACGGCGGGUGCUAACGUCCGUCGUGAAGAGGGAAACAACCCAGACCGCCAGCUAAGGUCCCAAAGUCAUGGUUAAGUGGGAAACGAUGUGGGAAGGCCCAGACAGCCAGGAUGUUGGCUUAGAAGCAGCCAUCAUUUAAAGAAAGCGUAAUAGCUCACUGGUCGAGUCGGCCUGCGCGGAAGAUGUAACGGGGCUAAACCAUGCACCGAAGCUGCGGCAGCGACACUAUGUGUUGUUGGGUAGGGGAGCGUUCUGUAAGCCUGUGAAGGUGUGCUGUGAGGCAUGCUGGAGGUAUCAGAAGUGCGAAUGCUGACAUAAGUAACGAUAAAGCGGGUGAAAAGCCCG